AACGAACGCUGGCGGCAUGCCUAACACAUGCAAGUCGAACGAGACCUUCGGGUCUAGUGGCGCACGGGUGCGCAACGCGUGGGAACCUGCCUUUAGGUUCGGAAUAACUCAGAGAAAUUUGAGCUAAUACCGGAUGAUGUCUUCGGACCAAAGAUUUAUCGCCUUUAGAUGGGCCCGCGUUGGAUUAGCUAGUUGGUGGGGUAAAGGCCUACCAAGGCGACGAUCCAUAGCUGGUCUGAGAGGAUGAUCAGCCACACUGGGAUUGAGACACGGCCCAGACUCCUACGGGAGGCAGCAGUGGGGAAUAUUGGACAAUGGGCGAAAGCCUGAUCCAGCAAUGCCGCGUGAGUGAUGAAGGCCUUAGGGUUGUAAAGCUCUUUUACCCGAGAUGAUAAUGACAGUAGCGGGAGAAUAAGCUCCGGCUAACUCCGUG
rnacentral:rRNA from 1 species